UACGGGGGGUGCAAGCGUUGUUCGGAUUGAUUGGGCGUAAAGCGCUCGUAGGCGGGUUCACAAGUCGGAUGUGAAAGCCCCGGGCUUAACCUGGGAAUUGCAUCUGAAACUAUGAAUCUUGAAUACUUGAGGGGUUGGUGGAAUUCUUGGUGUAGGAGUGAAAUCCGUAGAUAUCAAGAGGAAUACCGGAGGCGAAGGCGGCCGACUGGCAAUGUAUUGACGCUGAGGAGCGAAAGCGUGGGGAGCAAACAGG
rnacentral:rRNA from 1 species